AUUGAACGCUGGCGGCAUGCCUAACACAUGCAAGUCGAACGCGAAAGUCCCUCGGGGCGAGUAGAGUGGCGGACGGGUGAGUAAUACGUGGGAAUCUACCUGGUAGUGGGGGACAACCCGGGGAAACUCGGGCUAAUACCGCAUACGUCCUACGGGACAAAGGGGGCCUCUGCUUGCAAGCUCUCGCUACCAGAUGAGCCCACGUCCGAUUAGCUAGUUGGUAGGGUAAAGGCUUACCAAGGCGACGAUCGGUAGCUGGUUUGAGAGGAUGGCCAGCCACACUGGGACUGAGACACGGCCCAGACUCCUACGGGAGGCAGCAGUGGGGAAUAUUGGACAAUGGGCGCAAGCCUGAUCCAGCAAUGCCGCGUGUGUGAAGAAGGC
rnacentral:rRNA from 1 species